CCUACGGGAGGCAGCAGUGAGGAAUAUUGGUCAAUGGGCGCAAGUCUGAACCAGCCAAGCCGCGUGAGGGAAGAAGGCACUGCGUAUUGUAAACCUCUUGGGUAAGGGGGAAAAGGCGGGGACGAGUCUCCGGCUGAGGGUACCUGAAGAAAAAGCAUCGGCUAACUCCGUGCCAGCAGCCGCGGUAAUACGGAGGAUGCGAGCGUUAUCCGGAUUUAUUGGGUUUAAAGGGUGCGCAGGCGGCCGGUUAAGUUAGCGGUAAAAGCCCAGGGCUCAACUCCGGAGAGCCGUUGAUACUGGCGGGCUGGAGUUGAAGGGCAGUAGGCGGAAUGUGUGGUGUAGCGGUGAAAUGCUUAGAGAU
rnacentral:rRNA from 1 species